UACGGAGGGUGCAAGCGUUAUCCGGAUUCACUGGGUUUAAAGGGUGCGUAGGUGGGCUAGUAAGUCCGUGGUGAAAUCUCUGAGCUUAACUCGGAAACUGCCGUGGAUACUAUUAGUCUUGAAUCUCGUGGAGGUAAGCGGAAUAUGUCAUGUAGCGGUGAAAUGCUUAGAUAUGACAUAGAACACCGAUAGCGAAGGCAGUCCGCCAAACCAUUACUGACACUGAAACACGAAAGUGCGGGGAUCAAACAGG
rnacentral:rRNA from 1 species